rnacentral:tRNA from 1 species
GCUCAGUUGGUAAAAGUACAAGGCUCUUAACCUUGUGGACGUGGAUUCAAGUCCCAU